GCUGACGGCGUGGAGGCCUGAGCAGUGGAGGACAGCUUCGGUUUCCAGUGUUCCAGCCUGCCGCUGAAGAUCCUGGGUUAUGAAAAGAACGGCAUGCGGAACUUCCCUGACCAGGGAUCGAAACUGCGCCACCUGCAGUGGAAGCGCAGAAUCUUAGCCACUAGACCACUAGGGAAGUCCAAUAGUUAUCUUUUUUGCAUCUAAAUGGAUUCUAUAACAAUGAUCAAUAUUUUGGUAUCAUUAUUGCCACGAUGAAUUUUAUGAAAUGUGCCUAAUAAAUGUAUGUGGAUAAAUUAG